rnacentral:tRNA from 1 species
GGGUAUGUAGCUCAGUGGUAGAGCACUUGCCUAGCAUUUGUCCUGGGUUCAGUUCCCAGUAUUUCCC